UACAGAGGUCCCAAGCGUUGUUCGGAUUCACUGGGCGUAAAGGGUGCGUAGGCGGUCGGGUAAGUCUGAUGUGAAAUCUCACAGCUUAACUGUGAAACUGCAUUGGAUACUAUCCGGCUCGAGGAAUGGAGGGGAGACUGGAAUACUUGGUGUAGCAGUGAAAUGCGUAGAUAUCAAGUGGAACACCAGUGGCGAAGGCGAGUCUCUGGGCAGUAACUGACGCUGAGGAGCGAAAGCGUGGGGAGCAAACAGG
rnacentral:rRNA from 1 species